UACGUAGGGUGCGAGCGUUGUCCGGAAUUAUUGGGCGUAAAGGGCUCGUAGGCGGUUUGUCGCGUCGGGAGUGAAAACAUCGGGCUUAACUCGAUGCUUGCUUUCGAUACGGGCAGACUUGAGGUAUGCAGGGGAGAAUGGAAUUCCUGGUGUAGCGGUGGAAUGCGCAGAUAUCAGGAGGAACACCAACGGCGAAGGCAGCUCGCUAGGACGGUACUGACGCUGAGGUGCGAAAGCGUGGGGAGCAAACAGG
rnacentral:rRNA from 1 species